rnacentral:rRNA from 1 species
AGUGGCGAACGGGUGAGUAACACGUGAGUAACCUGCCCUUGACUCUGGGAUAAGCCUGGGAAACUGGGUCUAAUACCGGAUAUGACUGUCCGUCGCAUGGUGGUUGGUGGAAAGCUUUUGUGGUUUUGGAUGGACUCGCGGCCUAUCAGCUUGUUGGUGGGGUAAUGGCCUACCAAGGCGACGACGGGUAGCCGGCCUGAGAGGGUGACCGGCCACACUGGGACUGAGACACGGCCCAGACUCCUACGGGAGGCAGCAGUGGGGAAUAUUGCACAAUGGGCGCAAGCCUGAUGCAGCGACGCCGCGUGAGGGAUGACGGCCUUCGGGUUGUAAACCUCUUUCAGUAGGGAAGAAGCGAAAGUGACGGUACCUGCAGAAAAAGCGCCGGCUAACUACGUGCCAGCAGCCGCGGUAAUACGUAGGGCGCAAGCGUUAUCCGGAAUUAUUGGGCGUAAAGAGCUCGUAGGCGGUUUGUCGCGUCUGCCGUGAAAGUCCGGGGCUCAACUCCGGAUCUGCGGUGGGUACGGGCAGACUAGAGUGAUGUAUGGGAGACUGGAAUUCCUGGUGUAUCGCUGAGAUGCGCAGAUAUCAGGAGGAACACCCGAUGGCGAAAAGCAGGUCUCUGUGGCAUUAUCUCACGCUGAGGAGCGAAAGCAUGUGGAGCGAACAGGAUUAUAUACCCUGGUAGUCCAUGCCCGUAUACGUUGGGCACUAUGUGUGGGGGGACAUACCACGUUUUCCGCGCCGUAGCUAUCACAUUAAAUGCCCCGCCCUGGUGGAGUACAGCCGCAAGGCUAAAACUCACAGGAAAUUGACUGGGGCGCGCCACAAGCAGCCGGCAGCAUGCUGGAGUAGAUCGAUGCUGCGCGAGAGCGUACCAUGCUGACGUGAGCAGACCUGACUGGUAACAGAUCUCGACUCUGCUGGUUAUAGGUGUUGCAUGGUGUCGUCGCUC